CCCAGCGGAGAAGGUCAGACAAACACCUGGAACCGUUUAGAAGAUCUAAUCGAAGGCCGGGUUAAGACUUCACCCCGGGAUUAUUGCGUCAGUGAUCUUUGUCUCUGUGGCGGCAAUAUUAGCCGCUCUAUUGAUCAUCCGAAAAUACUGCCACCCGGUCAAUGAGGCAAGAUACAGAUACUCACAGCUGAGACGGAUGGAGGACCAGGGUUCAGCAGUGACAGAGGGUGAAGGCGACAGGGGGCCCGGCCUCGUCGGAGAGGACUCAGACGAGGAUCUUCUGGAAUGAAGCUCAGACCGAGACCCAGAUGAACCGGCUAAAAAAGCGUUUAACGGGGAUGAAUCGUGUUCUUUUAGCACUGCAGCUAAUGGUUAUUUCUUUUUUAUACUAAAAACAUCAUUAGCUCCACACAACAUCAGAAAAUACCCAUAACACAUUUUCCUACACCCCAUUGUGACAUCAUGAAUAUGUGUUGCUUUGUUCACACAAGAGUCCAAAACCCCAACAUUUUCAGUGUAAUAGAUUUUAAAAAUGCUUCAGAAGCUGGAACCAACACAUGUGUUGCUUUUUAUUAUUGCUAACCCAAACAGUUAAAGCUUUAGUAGGUUGUGUUUGGAAAACACAACAACAAAAUUUAGAUCUAAAAAACUAAAUGUCUAACUGAAGACCCCAGUGUUGCAGAGUGUUAACAGAAAUAGCUACAAAAGCAGCUAGAUCUCUCAAGACGGUUUAGGAAAUUAGCAACAAUGUCAUCAUCCCUCCGAAGCCACUCUGGAAAAAAACAUUCAUUAUGAAUGUAAACGACCUCAAUCAAUACAAGAUACGGUGCCUUUUCUUCCGCUGCGUUAGUACCAAUAUGGCGAAGGUGCAGGCAGAGCUAGCAGCAAUUACCUGUAAAUAAACCACCAACAGCUUUAUCCGCUGCAACAGUUGUAUGAGCGCAGUGCGGAUCAGUGUAGUUACUCCUUAAUAAUUUAAAAGCAGCAACGCCAAACGUCUUAAGCACGAUCGAAUAUGCCUCAAAUUAAUAAAAAACAAGUGGUGACAUCAAUUCACUUUCAAUUUUAGAUAUUACAAUCUUUCAGCAUCGUUUUCCAGCACUUCUGAUAUGAUUGCUACAAAGCAUCACAUGGAGGUUUGCCAUUUAAUGGGCUUUUUUCAACUCCAUAGCUGACCUGCAGCUGUACAUGGUCACAAUAACUACCAGUUGGCUGGUCAUUUGCUUUGAAAUAUAUUUCCAUUUUCACGCUAACCUCAACCCACUUAAAGUCAAUUUGCUCUUUAAUGGUGUUGAGGCUGACUGAUGUUGCAUGAUAUUUUUUUAGACUGCGUUAUUUGCCACAAAGAAAAAAUGAAAACCUCCAAUUUCACCUGUUAAGUCACGAGUGAACAUAAUUUGGGUAACGUCAGUGUCACAGGAUGCUGACGACAGCUCACACAGAUUAAUCAUCUAUCAGAAGGUUACAGCAUUUACAAAAAGAGUAAAAGUAUAUUUUGAGUGACGUCAUUCAGUCAAAUGUUUC
ensembl:lncRNA